UAGAGUUUGAUCAUGGCUCAGAACGAACGCUGGCGGCAGGCUUAACACAUGCAAGUCGAGCGCUCUCUUCGGAGGGAGCGGCGGACGGGUUAGUAACGCGUGGGAACAUACCCUUUGGUACGGAAUAGCCUCUGGAAACGGAGAGUAAUACCGUAUGAGCCCUUCGGGGGAAAGAUUUAUCGCCAAAGGAUUGGCCCGCGUUAGAUUAGGUAGUUGGUGGGGUAAUGGCCUACCAAGCCUACGAUCUAUAGCUGGUUUUAGAGGAUGAUCAGCAACACUGGGACUGAGACACGGCCCAGACUCCUACGGGAGGCAGCAGUGGGGAAUCUUGGACAAUGGGCGCAAGCCUGAUCCAGCCAUGCCGCGUGAGUGAUGAAGGCCUUAGGGUCGUAAAGCUCUUUCGCCUGUGAAGAUAAUGACGGUAGCAGGUAAAGAAACCCCGGCUAACUCCGUGCCAGCAGCCGCGGUAAUACGGAGGGGGUUAGCGUUGUUCGGAAUUACUGGGCGUAAAGCGCACGUAGGCGGACUGGAAAGUUGGGGGUGAAAUCCCAGGGCUCAACCCUGGAACUGCCUCCAAAACUAUCAGUCUAGAGUUCGAGAGAGGUGAGUGGAAUUCCGAGUGUAGAGGUGAAAUUCGUAGAUAUUCGGAGGAACACCAGUGGCGAAGGCGGCUCACUGGCUCGAUACUGACGCUGAGGUGCGAAAGUGUGGGGAGCAAACAGGAUUAGAUACCCUGGUAGUCCACACCGUAAACGAUGAAUGCCAGUCGUCGGGUAGCAUGCUAUUCGGUGACACACCUAACGGAUUAAGCAUUCCGCU
rnacentral:rRNA from 1 species